rnacentral:rRNA from 1 species
ACUCCUACGGGAGGCAGCAGUGGGGAAUAUUGCACAAUGGGGGAAAACCCUGAUGCAGCCAUGCCGCGUGUGUGAAGAAGGCCUUCGGGUUGUAAAGCACUUUCAGUAGGGAGGAAGGUAGUGUAGUUAACACCUGCAUUAUUUGUACGUUACCUACAGAAGAAGCACCGGCUAACUCCGUGCCAGCAGCCGCGGUAAUACGGGAGGGUGCGAGCGUUAAUCGGAAUUACGUGGGCGUAAAGCGCAUGCAGGCGGCCUGUUAAGUCAGAUGUGAAACGCCCGGGGUCUUAACCUCGGAAUUGCUAUUUGAAACUGGCGAGGCUAGAGUCUUGUAGGAGGGGUUAGAAUUUCGAGGUGUAGCGGUGAAAUGCGUAGAGAUCUGAAGGAAUACCAGUGGCGAA